AGUGAACGCUGGCGGUAGGCCUAACACAUGCAAGUCGAACGGCAGCACAGUAAGAGCUUGCUCUUACGGGUGGCGAGUGGCGGACGGGUGAGGAAUACAUCGGAAUCUACUUUUUCGUGGGGGAUAACGUAGGGAAACUUACGCUAAUACCGCAUACGACCUACGGGUGAAAGCAGGGGAUCUUCGGACCUUGCGCGAUUGAAUGAGCCGAUGUCGGAUUAGCUAGUUGGCGGGGUAAAGGCCCACCAAGGCGACGAUCCGUAGCUGGUCUGAGAGGAUGAUCAGCCACACUGGAACUGAGACACGGUCCAGACUCCUACGGGAGGCAGCAGUGGGGAAUAUUGGACAAUGGGUGCAAGCCUGAUCCAGCCAUACCGCGUGGGUGAAGAAGGCCUUCGGGUUGUAAAGCCCUUUUGUUGGGAAAGAAAAGCAGCAGGUUAAUACCCCGCUGUUCUGACGGUACCCAAAGAAUAAGCACCGGCUAACCUCGUG
rnacentral:rRNA from 1 species